rnacentral:lncRNA from 1 species
GCUCUCGUCUUCUCAGCUUAAUAUAAAACCAACCACACACCAUCUACAUUGCCCUUUCCUUUCAGUUUCGUCUCUCACUGCUCUCAUUCAACAAUAAUGGCGGCGGCUGCGGCGGCUCCAUCUCCCUCUUUCUCCAAAACCCUAUCGUCCUCCUCCUCCAAAUCCUCCACCCUCCUCCCUAGAUCCACCUUCCCUUUCCCCCACCACCCCCACAAAACCACCCCACCACCCCUCCACCUCACCCCCACCCACAUUCACAGCCAACGCCGUCGUUUCACCAUCUCCAAUGUCAUUUCCACUACCCAAAAAGUUUCCGAGACCCAAAAAGCCGAAACUUUCGUUUCCCGUUUUGCCCCUGACGAACCCAGAAAGGGUUCCGACGUUCUCGUGGAGGCCCUCGAAAGAGAAGGGGUUACGGACGUUUUUGCGUACCCAGGCGGCGCUUCCAUGGAGAUUCACCAAGCUU